CACAGUCAAUCUGCUGCGGGCUGAUGAAAUGAAUGUGGGUGUCAAUACCACCAGCUGUAACGAUCAUACCUUCUCCUGCAAGUGCCUCUGUAGAAGCACCUACCGUCAUUCCGGGAGUCACACCAUCCAUGACAUCCGGGUUUCCCGCUUUUCCGACUCCGACAAUUUUUCCGUCUUUGAUUCCGAUAUCGGCCUUGACAAUUCCUGUGGCAUCCACAAUCAGAGCAUUGGUAAUCACAAGAUCCAGAUCUCCGUCACGGCUGCAUGUUUUUACCGACUGACCCAUUCCGUCACGAA
rfam:Clostridiales bacterium 42_27 Ley3_66761_scaffold_5735, whole genome shotgun sequence.